GGAGAGAUGCCGGAGUGGUCGAACGGGCUCGCCUGGAAAGUGAGUGUGCCCCAAAAGGGUACCCAGGGUUCGAAUCCCUGUCUCUCCG
rnacentral:tRNA from 1 species